GCUAUGGUAUCUUUAGGAUAAAUAAUGUCUAUAAUGCUAAUUAUAUAUUCAAAUAUUCAAAGAAGUCAUUUAAAAUGAACAUUUUAGGAAGAAAAAACAAAGAAAAAUUAGGAAAAAUAGAAAAAUGACAGUUUAAUGUAUCAACCCCAAGACAAUCCUCCAUUACUUUAUUGAUCAAACAAUACAGUUAUUACUUUCUUCUUCAAUAUACAAAAGUUAAUUUGUUACUUCUUGUGAAAUUACGAAAAAAUUAAAAUGGAUUCAACAGGAAGAAGAAAGUCUUUACGUGAGUCAUUUAUGGGAGCAUUGACAAGAAAAUCUUUAGUAGUUAAAAGGGUAGAUCGAUUAAAAGGAAUUCAGCUUUUUCGUUCUGCGAUCAGACGUAUCCUAAUAUACAUGAAAUGGCUAACUGAAGAACCUGUAGUUGAAGAAAUUAGCGACGAUGUUGCGAUUAAUAUUAAAAGGGCACAAGCGAAGAAAGUCGAGAAGAAAGCACUUACUCUGGAGGAUCGUUCUAUUUUAUUAACGAAUCCACACGAUCGAACAUUAGUCGAAAGAACGUACAUAUUCGAGCUGUUUAAGAAGUUCGGGGUGUUUAAAAAAUAUCCAGAACGUUUGCAAGAAAUUUUAGCUGGAGUAUGCUUUUAUCAGUACUUAUCACCAGGUCGGAUAAUUGUACGACAGGAUCGUCCAGCUGAAAAUCUUUAUUUUAUUGUUAGUGGAGAGGUCAGUUUAUCGAAGGUGGUCACCGAUCGUUGGACCGAUGAAAUGAGGGAAAUUGACAUGGGUAUUUUAAAUCCAGGAGAUAUUUUCGGGGAAAUUGCGUUAUUACAUAAAUUACCAAGAUCAGCGACAGUAAUUUCAAACACCACCGUGGAUUUGAUUUUUAUCUCUUCCCAGGAUUUUGAAGAUAUUUUACGACCUACUUUGAUGAAAGAAUGGAACGCCCUGCAAGAGGCGUUAAUUUAUUUUAAUUAUUUCAAAUGCUGGGACGAGAAGAUGAUGAGAGAAUGUUGCAUUCUUAGCAGAUUAAAAGAAUUUCAAGCUGACGAGGUUUUACUAGGUGACGGUAAGGGGAUGGUGAACUACGUGCAUUUUCUAUUAGAAGGUGAAUGUGAACUAAUAGAACAUAUCAUUGUUCGUGAGGAACAUUCCACACGUGGAACGCACUAUGAAUUAUACGAUUCCAUAAAGUGCACUACACGAGAUGAAGUGAGAAGAUCAGUAAAAGAUUUAGAAGUAGGCGUGCAAAAGAUGGAUCAACUGAGUGAUAUCGGCGUAACCGACAGUGGGCAAUUGAUAGAUUACACUCAGUUGCUAUUGUCAUCGAAACCCCUUGACAAACGCGUAGAUUUUGAUCGUUCUAGCAUUGUUACAACUACAUUAUUGGAUGUCAUAAAUGAGUGGCACAAAAUCACGGAUGUAGCAGAAAUGUUGUUAAGAGAACCUUCUUCCAUAUCUCAACAAUGUUAUCCAAGUAAUGUUCGUACAAUAUUUAUGCGAAUUUCUACGUAUACCAGAGGCGCCUGCUUCGGACUUGGUGAAAAUAUGAUCGAUAGAAGAAUAGUGUCAAAAACAAAUGUACGGUGCUUUCUGGUUCCACGUUAUUGGAUAAACGAACACAAUCGUGCUAAUAUUUGGGAACGUGUGAAAUUGUUUAUGGACUCGAAAUUUCCAACUAAAGAAAAAUUGUUUAAAGAAUUCGUGAACAAUCGCAGGUGGCGAAACUAUAAACAAAAUUUCGUUAAUGACAUAAGAAAAACAGGUCAACUUAUACAUAGUAACGUGACUAUACACGAUGUUCCUUAUUCGAUUAGAAUUGCCAAUGAUGUGAGUGGAUAACUGCGAAAUCACAAAAGUGCUAGACGCCACUCCAAGUGACGUUUCUAGUUGGAAUUUCUACUAGCUUUGUGAUGUAGUGUUUGGAAAUACUAUUUUUAAGGAGCCUGUUUAUUUUUCAUUUCUGAAAAGCAGAACCGUCGAAGACGCAAAGCAGAUGCAUAGGAAACACCCCGGAAGCUAAGGACCAGAGAAAAAGAAACGGAACUGGAAGUACUGUUUCCACUAUAACUGCUACCGCUUUGACGACGGCAAUACUACAAAAAAAUAGACAAUAAUUAUAUAUUAU